AAUGAACGCUGGCGGCGUGGUUAAGACAUGCAAGUCGAACGGUUUUUAAUGAAGGGCAACCGGAUUUAAAAGACAGUGGCGAACGGGUGCGUAACACGUGAACAAUCUACCUCCAAGUGGGGAAUAGCUCGCCGAAAGGCGAAUUAAUACCGCAUGUGGUCGAGGCUCGCAUGAGUCUUGAACUAAAGUCAGGGACCGCAAGGCCUGACGCUAGGAGAGGAGUUCGCGGCCUAUCAGCUAGUUGGCGAGGUAACGGCUCACCAAGGCUAAGACGGGUAGCUGGUCUGAGAGGAUGAUCAGCCACACUGGUACUGAGACACGGACCAGACUCCUACGGGAGGCAGCAGUAAGGAAUAUUGGACAAUGGAGGCAACUCUGAUCCAGCCAUGCCGCGUGCAGGAUGAAGGCGCUCUGCGUUGUAAACUGCUUUUACACGGGAAUAAACUCCGCCAUUCUUGGCGGACCGAAUGUACCGUGAGAAUAAGGACCGGCUAAC
rnacentral:rRNA from 1 species